rnacentral:rRNA from 1 species
UUUCCAGACUCCUACGGGAGGCAGCAGUGGGGGAUAUUGCACAAUGGGGGAAACCCUGAUGCAGCGAAGCCGCGUGGGCGAAGAAGUAUUUCGGUAUGUAAAGCCCUAUCAGCAGGGAAGAAGAAAUGACGGUACCUGAGUAAGAAGCACCGGCUAAAUACGUGCCAGCAGCCGCGGUAAUACGUAUGGGGCAAGCGUUAUCCGGAUUUACUGGGUGUAAAGGGAGCGUAGACGGCCAGACAAGUCAGAAGUGAAAGCCCAGGGCUCAACUCUGGGACUGCUUUUGAAACUGCCGGGCUGGAGUGCAGGAGAGGUAAGCGGAAUUCCUAGUGUAGCGGUGAAAUGCGUAGAUAUUAGGAGGAACACCAGUGGCGAAGGCGGCUUACUGGACUGUAACUGACGUUGAGGCUCGAAAGCGUGGGGAGCAAACAGGAUUAGAUACCCGAGUA